ACUUUUAAAGGAUAAAAGUAA
rnacentral:tRNA from 1 species